rnacentral:rRNA from 1 species
CCUACGGGAGGCUGCAGUGGGGAAUAUUGGACAAUGGGGGCAACCCUGAUCCAGCCAUGCCGCGUGUGUGAAGAAGGCCCUCGGGUUGUAAAGCACUUUCAGUGAGGAAGAACGCCUGGUGGUUAAUACCCAUCAGGAAAGACAUCACUCACAGAAGAAGCACCGGCUAACUCCGUGCCAGCAGCCGCGGUAAUACGGAGGGUGCGAGCGUUAAUCGGAAUUACUGGGCGUAAAGCGCGCGUAGGUGGCUUGAUAAGCCGGUUGUGAAAGCCCCGGGCUCAACCUGGGAACGGCAUCCGGAACUGUCAAGCUAGAGUGCAGGAGAGGAAGGUAGAAUUCCCGGUGUAGCGGUGAAAUGCGUAGAGAUCGGGAGGAAUACCAGUGGCGAAGGCGGCCCUCUGGACUGACACUGACACUGAGGUGCGAAAGCGUGGGUAGCAAACAGGAUUAGAUACCCUGGUAGUC